rnacentral:rRNA from 1 species
GACGAACGCUGGCGGCGUGCUUAACACAUGCAAGUCGAACGGAAAGGCCCUGCUUUUGUGGGGUGCUCGAGUGGCGAACGGGUGAGUAACACGUGAGUAACCUGCCCUUGACUUUGGGAUAACUUCAGGAAACUGGGGCUAAUACCGGAUAGGAGCUCCUGCUGCAUGGUGGGGGUUGGAAAGUUUCGGCGGUUGGGGAUGGACUCGCGGCUUAUCAGCUUGUUGGUGGGGUAGUGGCUUACCAAGGCUUUGACGGGUAGCCGGCCUGAGAGGGUGACCGGCCACAUUGGGACUGAGAUACGGCCCAGACUCCUACGGGAUGCAGCAGUGGGGAAUAUUGCACAAUGGGCGGAAGCCUGAUGCAGCAACGCCGCGUGCGGGAUGACGGCCUUCGGGUUGUAAACCGCUUUCGCCUGUGACGAAGCGUGAGUGACGGUAAUGGGUAAAGAAGCACCGGCUAACUACGUG